rnacentral:rRNA from 1 species
AUUGGACGCUGGCGGCAGGCUUAACACAUGCAAGUCGAGCGGAGAUGAGGUGCUUGCACCUUAUCUUAGCGGCGGACGGGUGAGUAAUGCUUAGGAAUCUGCCUAUUAGUGGGGGACAACAUUCCGAAAGGAAUGCUAAUACCGCAUACGCCCUACGGGGGAAAGCAGGGGAUCUUCGGACCUUGCGCUAAUAGAUGAGCCUAAGUCGGAUUAGCUAGUUGGUGGGGUAAAGGCCUACCAAGGCGACGAUCUGUAGCGGGCCUGAGAGGAUGAUCCGCCACACUGGGACUGAGACACGGCCCAGACUCCUACGGGAGGCAGCAGUGGGGAAUAUUGGACAAUGGGCGGAAGCCUGAUCCAGCCAUGCCGCGUGUGUGAAGAAGGCCUUUUGGUUGUAAAGCACUUUAAGCGAGGAGGAGGCUACCUGGAUUAAUACUCUAGGAUAGUGGACGUUACUCGCAGAAUAAGCACCGGCUAACUCUGUGCCAGCCGCCGCCGUAAGAC